rnacentral:rRNA from 1 species
UGUUUAUAUAUAUCAUGAUAAAAAGCGUAGAUUUUUGAGUAUGAGGUAAAUGUCUAGGUAUAUGUAAAAAAGGACGUAGCAUUCUUACGAAAAUUCAUAGAGAGAAAUGCAGUUUACUAUGACCUAUGAUUAUCCUUGAGAAAACUGUAUUUUUAAUAUAAUAAUACUGGACAAAAUGAAACAUCUUAUUAGUCCAAGGAAAAAAAAUCAAACGAGAUUUUGUUAGUAGUGGCGAACGAACUCAAAAAAGGGCUUUCAAUGUAAUAACAAAAUUAAUAAUUUGGAAAAAUUAGCCAUAGAAAGUUAAAGCCUUGUAAAUUUUUUAUACAUAUUUCUCAUUAAGUAAAAAGAUAAUGUUGAAUUUUUUGAAUAUUGGAGAACCAUCCUUCAAACCCUAAAUAUAACAUAUAACCGAUAGUUAAAAGUACUGUGAAGGAAAGAUGAAAAGAACCCUUAAAUGGGAGUAAAAAGAUCUAAAAACCUGAUAUUUAUAACCAAUUGAAGUAUUUUAUGUACAACAAUUUGCCUCUUGUAUCAUGCAUUAGCGACUUUAAUAUUACAGCAAGCUUAAAUUAGUAAAUGUAGGCAAAGUUAAUACAACUAUUUUAAAAUAGAUUUUCUCAGUUGUAAUAUUAAGACCCGAAUCCAAGUGAUCUAAUUAUAAACAAGUUGAAUGCAUAAUAACCUAUGCUAGAAGGCUUAACUCGUAACUGUUGCAAAAGUUUGAGAUGAUUUAUGAUUAGGGGUGAAAGACUAAUCAAACUUGGUGAUAGCUGGUUUUCCACGAAAUAUAUUUAGGUAUAGCAUAAUUUAUUAAGGUAAGAGGUAGAGCUCUUUUUGACCUAGGGGAGUAAAAAGCUUUACUGAAUUCAGAUAAACUUCGAAUGCUUUCUUUUUAAUAGAAUUAUAGUCAAACUAUGAGUGCUAAGAUUCAUAGUUAAGAGGGAAACAGCCCAGAUUAUUGACUAAGGCCCUAAAAUGAUAUGCUAAGUGAUUGAGAUAGUGACUAAACCAAAAUAACCAGAAGGUAAGCUUGGAAGCAGCUAUCCUUUAAAAAAUGCGUAAUAGCAUACUGGUUGAAAACUUACUGUUUAAGUUUAGUUGCAUCAAAAAUAUAAAGGACUUAUGCUUUCUGCCGAAGUUAUAAAUCCAUUUGAGAUGGUAGUGGAACGUUUUUUAAGCCUGUGAAUUUAGAUUGUAAAAUCUAAAAGAGGUAUAAAAAGUGAGAAUGCUAAUAUAAGUAACUUUAAACAAUGUAAAAAUCGUUGUCGCUUUAAAAUCUAAGGUUUUCUACGCAAUGCUGAUCAACGUAGAUUUAGUCGGUCUCUAAAAAUCUAUUAGUGGUAACUAUGUUUGAUGAGAAUAUUUUAACUUAAAAAAUUUACACUUCUCGAAACUAUUCUGCUUUAGUUCUAUGGCUUAAAAGCAAAUUUGUUUCGAGACUGUCUAGAAAUACUUUUUUUACUUAAACCGUACUUAACCAACAAAGGAAGAUAAGUACACUAUAUUAUGGCGUUUGGACUAAUCAUUUUUAAGGAACUCGGCAAAAUUAUUUUGUAACUUCGGGAUAAAAAAUGCCUAUAAUUUAGGCUGUAUUAAUAAGGGAUAGCGACUAGUUAUUAAAACUACAAGACUUUGCCAAAUUGUAAAAUAAUGUAUAAAGUCUGAUGUCUGCCCAGUGCUAAAAAGUUAUAAAAGGUAGUGUAUAGCUGCUAAUUUAAGCUUUAGUAAACGGCGGUUGUAACUCUAACAAUCCUAAGGUAGCGAAAUUCCUAGUCAAUUAAUUGUUGACCUGCAUGAAAGACAUAACGACUUUCCCACUGUCUCAAAAAUGAAUCCAGUGAAAUUAGAUUUUGCGUGAAGAUACGCUAUUACGUCAGUUAGACGGAAAGACCCCAUAAACCUUAACUAUAAUUUUAGAUUGUUAUUGCGUAUAAUCUGUAUAGUAAUAAGUGGUAAUCGAUAAUAUGUCUUGAUUUAUUCAAUUACAGAGAUAACAAUGAAACACCACUCUGAUUAAAACGUAAAACUAAGUUAUUUUUAUAACUAUAGUCUAAAACAGUUAGUUUGACUGGGGCGGUAGUCUCCAAAAUAGUAACGGAGACCUACAAAGGUAAGUUCAAGUUUAGUUUAAAUAAACUUUUGAGUGCAAUGACAAAUACUUGCUUGACUGUAAAACAAACUAGUUAAACAGAGACGAAAGUCGGUCAUAGUGAUCCUAAGGUAUUUAAUGGAAAUACCUUAGCUUAAGGAAUAAAAGGUACUUUGGGGAUAACAGGCUGAUAAUUCUCGAGAGCUCUCAUCGACAGAAUUGUUUGGCACCUCGAUGUCGACUCUUCAUAUCCUAGGGCUGAAAAAGGUCCUAAAGGUUUGGCUGUUCGCCAAUUAAAAUGGAACGUGAGUUGGGUUUAGAACGUUGUAAAACAGUUUGGUCCCUAUCUGCUGUCGUUGUAUAAUAAUUGAAAAGACUUAUUUUUAGUACGAGAGGACCAAAAUAAAAUAACCAAUUGUUUGUUAGCUGCUUUGCCAAAGGCAUGUUAAUUAGCUAUGUUAUUUCUUAUAACUACUGAAAGCAUCAAUGUAGGAAGAAUACUUUAAAUCAAAUUAUUAACUCAUCGUGAAAGACUAUUACGUUAAUAGGUAAUUUGUAAGUUAUAGCAAUAUAAAAGCUAAGUUAUACUAAUAUGAUCUAAUAAAAGUAAUAUUUUCA